GUUUAGAACGUCGUGAGACAGUUCGGUCCCUAUCUGCCGUGGGCGUUGGAAAUUUGAAGGGGGCUGCUCCUAGUACGAGAGGACCGGAGUGGACACACCUCUGGUGCACCGGUUAUCACGCCAGUGGUAUCGCCGGGUAGCUAAGUGUGGAAGAGAUAAACGCUGAAAGCAUCUAAGCGUGAAACUCGCCUUGAGAUGAGAUUUCCCUGAGAGUUUAACUCUCCUUAAGAGUCGUUCUAGACCAGGACGUUGAUAGGUUAGGUGUGGAAGCCCUGUGAGGGGUGAAGCUAACUAAUACUAAUUGCUCGU
rnacentral:rRNA from 11 species